rnacentral:rRNA from 1 species
CGGUUAAACCGCCCUCGGGCGGACAUACAGUGGCGAACGGGUGAGUAACACGUGACCAACCUGCCCCGCGCUCCGGGACAACCGCUGGAAACGGCGGCUAAUACCGGAUACUCCGCGGCCCCCGCAUGGGGGCGGCGGGAAAGCCCCGACGGCGCGGGAUGGGGUCGCGGCCCAUUAGGUAGUAGGCGGGGUAGAGGCCCACCUAGCCGACGAUGGGUAGCCGGACUGAGAGGUCGAUCGGCCACAUUGGGACUGAGAUACGGCCCAAACUCCUACGGGAGGCAGCAG